rnacentral:lncRNA from 1 species
GUGGUGAUCUCUUUUCGUCCUGUAGCAAAGUAGACUUGUGGGUGUGGUCUGCCUUCACUGAGAUGGAAAUAAGAAAUUACAACUAGAGACCAUCAGAUCUGUAAGGCCUGGAGAGCCACGCAGAAGGAUGCAGACUGGUCAUCGGGCAGGAGUAUUGGUGCACAGAUGGCCAGUAUUGGAGGCUGAGACUUGAGAGAUGUCAAACAUCUGAGUGGGAUGGGAAAAAAUGAAGCUGAGAGUGUUGCAAUGAACUUCCCAAGGUCAUUCAUCUGAGUACAUGGGCCUGAGCAGGGCACACAGAAAAACUCAUUUAGGACUUGUGAAUGGAUGAACCACUUUAUACAUGGCUCUCAAGUGUGCAUUGCCUGGAAUUAGAAAUGCUUCAGGAGUCACAUCCAGAGGAUGCUCAAUAUAUUGACUGAAAGAUAAGACUGAAGGAUUUAAUGGGAGUUGGCAGCACUCUCUUAACUGCUCGUCGAAGACAAAUAAUUGGGAUCUUUCUAUGCUACAAACGCUUGACAUCAGAGAACACUUUCAGAAACCAAGACCCAUGCUGGAUAAAAAAGGCAGAAACAAAGAAUCAACAAGACACAAAGGUUACAGACAUCCCCCAAAUGCAUCCAAGAACAGCUUCUCUUCAGCUCCAGUAACAGCCAUGCCAGGGCUGAGUUCAGAGAUGAAAAGCAGUAGUCCUUUUUGACGUUCAAAUACAGAGUAAUAUUGGAGAUACGAGG